UGAGACAGAAGUAUAAUGUUCGGUCU
rnacentral:piRNA from 1 species